rnacentral:rRNA from 1 species
UAGGGAAUUUUCCACAAUGGGCGAAAGCCUGAUGGAGCAACGCCGCGUGCAGGAUGAAGGCCCUUGGGUCGUAAACUGCUUUUAUGUGAGAAGAAUAUGACGGUAACACAUGAAUAAGGGUCGGCUAACUACGUGCCAGCAGCCGCGGUCAUACGUAGGACCCAAGCGUUAUCCGGAAUUACUGGGCGUAAAGAGUUGCGUAGGUGGCAUUGUAAGUGGAGCGUGAAAGCGUGCGGCUCAACCGCAUUACUGCGCUCUAAACUGCAAAGCUUGAGUAUGAGAGGGGUAGAUGGAAUUUCUAGUGUAGGAGUGAAAUCCGUAGAUAUUAGAAGGAACACCGAUAGCGUAGGCAGUCUACUGGCUCAUUACUGACACUAAGGCACGAAAGCGUGGGGAGCAAACA